rnacentral:rRNA from 1 species
GACGAACGCUGGCGGCGUGCUUAACACAUGCAAGUCGAACGGAAAGGCCCUGCUUUUGUGGGGUGCUCGAGUGGCGAACGGGUGAGUAACACGUGAGUAACCUGCCCUUGACUUUGGGAUAACUUCAGGAAACUGGGGCUAAUACCGGAUAGGAGCUCCUGCUGCAUGGUGUGGGUUGGAAAGUUUCGGCGGUUGGGGAUGGACUCGCGGCUUAUCAGCUUGUUGGUGGGGUAGUGGCUUACCAAGGCUUUGACGGGUAGCCGGCCUGAGAGGGUGACCGGCCACAUUGGGACUGAGAUACGGCCCAGAAGCCUACGGGAGGCAGCAGUGGGGAAUAUUGCACAAUGGGCGGAAGCCUGAUGCAGCAACGCCGCGUGCGGGAUGACGGCCUUCGGGUGGUAAACCGCUUUCGCCUGUGACGAAGCGUGAGUGACGGUAAUGGGUAAAGAAGCACCGGCUAACUACGUG